rnacentral:misc_RNA from 1 species
UCCCCCGUGAGGGGGCAGUCUCGCCUGACUAAUAAAACAGGCAACGAGGGUUGCGUUCGUUACCCCACUGAAGGGAACAACUCAAGCCACGAACUGACGACGACCAUGCAUCACCUGCCAAGCCGCCUUUCGGGGUCCUAUGUUUCCAUAAGUUUUCGUCUUGGUUUCAAACCCUGGUGAGGUUCUUCGUUUGUCAUCGAAUUGAGCCGCAUGAUCCACCGCUUGUGCAAGUCCCCGUCUAUUCCUUUGAGUUUUAAUCUUGCGAUCGUACUACCCAGGCGCACAACUUAACGCGUUAGCUUCGCCUCACAGAGGGUCGAUACUCCGUAAAGCCAGUUGUGAUCGUUUAGGGCGUGGACUA